UUUUUUUCCACUGCGACGGUGCUAGUAGACAUGGUGCAACGUAUCGGAACCUAAACAGAGAAAAUUAGAAGAUUUCCUAUACAAUACAUGUAUAAUAUACUAUUAUUUAUGAUAUUCCACAAAAAAUAAAAAGAUGAAAUAAUAUUUUUCCACAACCUAUCUAAGAGAAUGAGUAACUGCAUCUUUUUCAGCUCGUCAAAUUUUAUUGCAGAACUCUAUAGUUGCUCAAAACUGAUUGCUAUUAAGUUGUCCAGUCUUGUAAAUUUCAUUGCAAACCCUAUUAUCUGGACUACUUCAUUUUCCUUCCUUGACAGAAUGUUUGAGUGUGCUGCUGCAACUUGUUUAAAUAGGAUUAGAGCCUGACAACUAACAUUUUCAAGUGACUUUCCUGUAAAAAAAGAAAAAAAAUAGUGAAUGCUUCAAUACCAACGUCAAUAAUAUGUAAACAGUUGGAUAACCUUAAAGACCAGUACAAUUGUGUGCAAGUUUCACUAUGCAAUCCAAGCAGAGAUCAACGAUCUCAUUCCCAAUUUUACAGUAUCUAUAGCUUCAAUUAUUUCUUAUCUCAUCUGUUGAAGGAUCCUAAAGAAGGAAAGCAACCAUUUCAUAUCAUGCUUCUUCAAGAUUACAAAAAAGAGUACUCAAAGAAAGCAACAACGAUGUGGAUGUAUCUUCCUAAUUUUAGGCACGGUAGAGUAGAGGCUGGCUUUAUCAUUGGAUCAUGAAUAAAGUUAAGCUCAAACCAUUAUAUAGAAAGGAAAAUGGAUUCUAUCCUCAAUUACUUGUAUCAAAACAUAUUAUUGUGCAUAGACAUAAGAGAAGGGAAGAGACGAAACACUCUUGACCUCGUAAACUUACCACUCACUUUUGCCUGCCACAAUGCUCCUAAAACCCAAAUAUGGACUGUUCAUAGUUGUAAAAUACUCCACAAAAACAUGAAACGGUACCAAAAUAAAAUGAAAAGAAGAUAUAAAGACCAGAUUAAAAGAAAAAAAAGAAAAGAAAAGAACAAUAUCGACUUACAUUCUUAACUUGGUAUGAGCGAGCUUUUCCUAAAGAAUGAUCAGGAUAUGUAAAGUCUUCUCUCCGUUGUUAUUUUUUCAAGAGCUUAGCUUAUCCUUUAUUCCUCAUUGACACACUAUGGCUCCUGUCAUUAAUUGUACAAGUUAAACAAAUCUUACCAGUCAUAGAAAACAUUUCCUUAAUUCUGUUCUGCUAUUGUGCAGUUAAAUGAUCAGUUAUCCAUAUUACUUCAUGCCUGGUAAUGUUUACUCUUUCUUCUAUAUAGAUUCUAACCAUGCAUCUUCUAUGAAAUUUCAAAUGUUCCAAAUGAUACAAAAUUCUAGAGCUGAUUCUUUUGAAUCCCCUUGUUUUUGGUCUGCUGGUUCAACUAUUCUGCUAUUAAAAGCCUACAACUUUGUUCUUAGUUCUCUAGUAAUUAUAUUCUAAGCAGUCUCAAUCUAUGUAAUUAGCUUAUCAUCUAUCUGUUCAUUAUCUAUGACAUUAGAAAUUAUAAAUCAGUUCACAAAUACAAAGCAAAUUCUAUCAGAUUAAAAAACAACCUCCCAUUCAGAUAGAAAUUAACUGAAGAAACUCUGAAGUGCAAAUCUAGUUCUAUCCCAAUUCUAUCAUUCUACUAUUAGAGCCUUACCUUCAAUUACAACAUAGUAGCAUAAUUUUUGACCAUUUCAGAAUACCAUUUAAUGUUCUAGUAUUUACAUCCAGCUAGCCUCUCCAUUUUACAAUGAUAAAAUAUGAGAAAUAAAUUUGACGCUCAAAGACACAAUCCACUACUAAGAGCUUCUAAAACUAUGUGCAAAUAUUGAUUAUCUUAGAAAAGAAAACUAUCACUGAGGCAAGUAAAAUUUACUGCAUUUGAAAAAGUAGACAUUAACAAAAUACAGCCAAGCCUGAUAAGGUAAAAUUUUAUUAAAUAAAAAAAAGGUACCCAAGAUGGUACAAAUAGAAUAGACCAGCACUAACACAAAACAAAUGGGCCAAGUCUUGGAAUGACUAAUAUUUAUUCAAAGAUCAUCAACGUAUCUAGUGGAAUUUCUGCACUAGCCAAUAAGUUCAACAGUAAGCCUAUUACUUUGUAAAACUACUUUCGUUUCUCAUAAAUUGCAAAAUAACUCUUCUCAACAUAAACUUGUUUCACUUUCAUUCUCCCAACUAACAAAGAACUUAAGUAAUAACCAAUGGCAUCCAAUGUCAACUCAACCAUUAGCUCUAGAAAAAUCAAGCAGAAGGGACAUGCAUACCAAGUUGGAAGGAAUGGAUCAAUGGUCUAACUAACUAAAAAUUCAUACCACAGCUAGAUCAUUAUAAUUACAAACUGAACAAAAAAUUAAAAUCAUGAGUGCAAUUGUUUUGAGAAAAAGAAUAGAACCAACAUGCACCCAAAAAUAGAAGCACAUAGAAGAACUAAAACCAUAGAGAACGAAGCUCGACGUCGCAGUUGUGUUAUACUAAGAAUGUAGGAAAAAGAUUCUACAAAUAAUUGAAUAAAGAAGAAGUGAAGAUUUGAUCACUGCUUACCGCUCACACAAACUGUAAUUAACACAGUCAACAGAGAGAAAAAGAGGAGAAUUAGAAACAACAAAAAUUGAAAUCUCAAUAAAUGAAAUAUCAUGACCAUCGAUACGAAAGAUAAAAGCUGGCACAGAAAUUGUAAUUAACACUGUAAACAUAGAGAAAAGAGGAGAAUUAAAAAUAACAAAAAUUAAAAUCUCAAUAAAUGAAAUGUCAUGGCCAUUGAAACGAACAAAAGCUGCCACAUAAAUUCUUAUAGCUUUCUUAGGAAGUGCAAAUUCAAUUCCUUACCUCUCUAUAUGAGCCACUGAAAGCACUAUGAAGCAGCUUUAUUGUAGUCGUCCCCCAUUCGUUCCCCUUUAACUCCAAAUCACACUAUGUGCAUUUGGAGAUUGAUUGAAUUCUAAAAAACCCCAAUUUCAAAACUUAGGUUAAAAUCUCAAAAUUGCUAAUUAAAAUUAAAAUAAAUAUAAAGUAAAAGAAUUUAACUAAUGCAAACUUGAGGAAUGCAAAGAAGUAAAAUAAACGAACUAAGAAGAGAGAAAAGAAGGAAAUGGAAAACAAAGAAGGAAGAAGAAGGUGAAAAACCAUCAUAGAGCAGGAUAAUCCAAACAUGAACAGUUCCGCUAACUGAAAUGCAAGUAGAAUAUGAAUGGGAGAUUCUGGAUUGUACUAAAGUAGAAGUGAAAUUACACCUGUUGAGAGAAGAAUAGGAGUCAAACCACACGUGUUUAGAGAAGAAUAUAACACUUACACGGGUAUACUUGCAAUUACCAAGUAGUACUUGUAUAAUUAAGUGGGCCCAAUGCAUAGUACAACUUACGCUAAAUCCAGUACAAUUAGCUAUUGCUAUGUUCGUACACCCCUUAGCCAUUUAUAAAAGAGUAACAUUUUUUGUCAAGAUACAUUCAUCAAGGCUAUGAUACCUUAUCAGUUUCAGGAAGACUAUCAGCCUUUCUAAGUAAUCUGAAUAUUUGUAGGCCUCCUUCGAUGCUCUUUAAAUACAAUGGAUUCAACCUGCAAGUUAUAGCAUACAAUCAUCUCGGGCAUACAAUCAAAUCUUGAAACUAACAUUUAUAGAUUUAUAUUUCAUAUUUUUUUUCAAGAUACAUUCACCAAAGCUUUGAUACCUUAUCAGUUUCAGGAAGCUAUCAGCCUUUCAAAGCCAUCUGAAUAUUUUGUAUACCUCCUUCGAUGCUCUUUAAAUACAAUGGAUUCAACCUUCAAGUUAUAGCAUAUUGAGAUGAAUUAAUCCAGAAUUUAGUACAUUGAAUAGUAUAUCUAAUUGGGUACAUCCCCUGUAGUCGUCGAAUAAAUUGCAAGACAAACAAAUGUCAAGCAUAAAUUAUAAAGAAUUAUCUUUUAUCCAUUCACGUUUGCAGUUAUUUCAUCAUUUCUUCCGUGAUAAACACCAUUCCUUGUAUCACUCUGGUCGAUAAGAGCUUACUUCUCUGCAAUUCAAUAAUUUUGUCCAACAAAAGCUAUUCUAUCCCCUUUUAGAAUACUAACAAAAUACAUACGAAUAUAAACAAUACAAUAACAGUAACAAUGUGACUCCGGUUUAUCUCUAUUUACAACAAAGUUCAUGACAUGGGAAACAUUUUGUGUUGUCCAACUGUAUGUGAGGACUCUCAAGUCGGUUAUGACAGCUGAAUCUACCCAAUAGCAACUAUUUGGAAACUAUAUGCUAAGAACUUUCAUCCAAUGCAAAGGUGAAGUUCCAGAAAGAGACAAAUGACAGAGAUUAGCACUUAACAGUAGCUGAAUGGUUAAAAUGCAUAUGCAUUUAUAAAAAUAUUCCAAAUACCAACACACAAAAUGUCACAACCUUUUCUAAAUACAUCCACUGAACUAUUAUGAUUUUUAGAACAGAUGAUCAUCACUAAUGUAGAACAGAUACUAUAAUCUGCCUUUCACCAUCACCCAUGAAAACACACGUAUAAUAAGAAAGGAUUGGUGAGACCUUAACUUUUGCCAAUACAAUUAUAACAUCUACUCCUAUGAUAUCUCCUAAGAGGACUAAAGAACAUUAAAAAAGAAAGCUCACCGCACCGACGGAGAUAGAUCAUACAAUCUCCUUUGAGAAAGGUUUACAUCUGUAUACCAGCAAAAGAAUUACUCCUAGAUGGGCCAUCGUUUGCAUCUGUAUACCAGCAAAAGAAUUACUCCUGAAUAUACAAAAUCAAUGCAAAAGAAAUGUGAAUAUAUAUACAUGGCCUACAAACAAUUAGGAAUUUCAGCGACAUCCACAUAACCUCAUAAAUAGCACUUAAAUGUAAUAAAUCCUUUUAUAUAUUAGCAAAGUUCACAAACUGCUGGUGCAUCAUUGAUUAUUUCACAAAGAAAAAUGUCUUUUUUCCUACUAAUAUGGAUGCAUUCCAACAGCUGAUACUUAUGGAAUUUUAUUGUUCAGUCAGGUGAGUGUAAUAGAAUAGUGGAAAUAUCCAUAACUUCGCAUAUACAUUUCGAAAAUGCAGUGACAUCUAAAAGAAAACCACUUGCAGAAAUCGACCCAGCGCUUUUAAGACAUGAAAAGGAAAGACGGAGAAUUCAGUCAACCUAAAAGGAAAUUGAAGUUAGAUCUCAUUGCCAAUAAAGUAUAAGUUAAACAGCAAAUUGGAGAUUUCAUGCUGAUAUAUGAGAAUGAUGCCUAAACAUUAUGCUUUAUUUUAUUAAUAAAGAGAAGUAAUUUUCUUUGUAAAAGGUGAAUAGUUUGUCAAUAACUUAGUGGCUUGUUUCCGUCCCCUAAGAUUAGGGGAACUGGUUGCUGAUAAUAGAGUAUACAUAUUUGUUUAACAACUGAACUUAUUCCUUCUAACCCCUUAACAUUAACGACCUAAUCAAUUUUCGAAAAUAUAUCCCUCUUUUGAAUUAUAAAUUUUAGUCACCUACCAUAGAUUGUCUUCUAUAUCUCUAACAAAUUAGACAAAGAAAUGUGGGCACUUAAAAGAAAAAAUACCAAAAUUGCAGCCUUUCCCUGCUCCCAAAUGAAGAAGACCUUAUCGUUUGAUUAUCUCUGUUUGUCGGAAAAGUGAACGCAGGAAAUUAUGUACUUUGAACUCACUAUAAUAAGCCCUCCAAAAUGAAAUUCGAGUUAGAAAGAAUUACACAAAUUAAAAUAAAUUCAGUAAUAUACAUUAGGAAAAAAUGGUAUAGCGGAUUCGGACUUCCCAUAUGUCACAAAGGCUAAGCCAAUAACUCAAUUUCUUUAGCCAAGCAGCGAUAGAAUGCUUGUUGUCUCUUCAAGCCCAUCUCUAUUCAUGACAAACAUAUCAUCCUUUACAUGAGAAUUCCGACCACACUAUUUUUAAUCCACAUAUGACAUAUCUCAGUAAUCUCAAGAUCCGUUACUUAACCAAACGGGGAAAAAUAUAUCAAUACACCCCCAAGACGAAGAGACAACUAAAAUAGGAGAAAAUAAUAACAAUAUUUUGCCAGAAAAAAAAAAACGUGCUUCACAUCACUUGGCUAAAAACUCGCAUAUAUGCAUGCUGAAGGAUGAAGAGCAAUAAGCUUUAAAAUGGUAAUAAAAACAAAAGAAAAAUUAUCCAAACCCACUGUAAUAUCAAUGGUAUCAACCAACUCGUAACAAAGAGUAUAAAUCAUUUUUUUAGAACUUGAGUUCGAUAAAUCCAGCUUGAGGGUGGGGGUUCAGAGCAUGAGUGUAGGAUUUAAAAAUACAAUUGGGGGUUAUUUGAUAUGGAGUUCUUGGGGUGAAAUUUGGGGUUUGCUUUGGGGAGGAAUGGCAGAAUAGGGAGCGUUGGAGGGAAAGAGAAAGAUGAUAAUAGAGAGAGAGAGAGAAAGGGGGUGGGGGGCUCU
rnacentral:lncRNA from 1 species